rnacentral:rRNA from 1 species
UACACCGGUAACGCCCAGAGAUGGUGCCCCUUGUGGUCGGUGUACAGGUGGUGCAUGGUUGUCGUCAGCUCGUGUCGUGAGAUGUUGGGUUAAGUCCCGCAACGAGCGCAACCCUCGUCCUAUGUUGCCAGCGGGUCAUGCCGGGGACUCAUGGGAGACUGCCGGUAAAAAGCCGGAGGAAGGUGAGGAUGAUGUCAAGUCAGCAUGACCUUUAUAUCCAGGGCUACACACACGCUACAAUGGUCUGUACAAUGGGUAGCCAAGCCGCGAGGCGGAGCGAAUCCCAGAAAGCCGGUCUCAGUUCGGAUUGGGGUCUGCAACUCGACCCCAUGAAGUCGGAGUCGCUAGUAAUCGCAGAUCAGCAACGCUGCGGUGAAUACGUUCCCGGGCCUU